AACUCUUAGCGGUGGAUCACUCGGCUCGUGAGUCGAUGAAGAACGCAGCUAGCUGCGAGAACUAAUGUGAAUUGCAGGACACAUUGAUCAUUGACACUUCAAACGCACUUUGCGGCCCCAGGUUCCUCAUGGGGCUAUGCCUGUCUGAGGGUCG
rnacentral:rRNA from 13 species